rnacentral:misc_RNA from 1 species
GAUGAAGAACGCAGCGAAAUGCGAUAAGUAAUGUGAAUUGCAGAAUUCAGUGAAUCAUCGAAUCUUUGAACGCACAUUGCGCCCCCCAGUAUUCUGGCGGGCAUGCCUGUUCGAGCGUCAUUUCAACCAUCAAGCCCUGCUUGUGUUGGGGUCCUGCGGCUGCCCGCAGGCCCUGAAAACCAGUGGCGGGCUCGCUAGUCACACCGAGCGCAGUAGCACAUCUCGCUCAGGGCGUGCGGCGGGCUCCAGCCGUUAAAGCACCCACCUGUCGCAAGGUUGACCUCGGAUCAGGUAGGAAUACCCGCUGAACUUAAGCAUAUCAAUAAGCGGAGGA